UAAAAAUGCAUUCAGAUACGUUUGUACAUGCAUAAAGUUCUCUGGGGUUGCAUAUAUAAUUAUUACUUUAAGUUUUAGCUCCGUGUAGUGCAAUACAUACACUGUUGUGAACCAGUUGUGAGAGGACGUCCACAAGGUGACGUCCUUUACACGUGCAUUUAUAGUCCAUCAUGACCCUGUAUGAAAUCAGUAUGAAAUAUGCAAAAGCAAUUGUGCUUACACCUUGAUUAUUACUGUAAUACUUUAUUUAAGUGCCCCAAGUAGUUUUAAGACGACCACGUCUAGUCAAGCAUUACCCAUUCAAAAUAAAUAAAGAAAUAAGUAAAUAAGUAAAUAAAAACAGGAAAUCGUAAUGAAAUAAACGUAAUUUGUAUUUCUAUCUUGUUUAAUUAAUAUUCACAAAGUGCCAUAUGGUUAAGUGAUUGCAAAGCCACUGAAUUUUAGUUAUAAUUCUACCCGUUUUCCAUAAAUUUCAAUACGAUUUUAUUAUUUUAAGUUUAUGCAUAUACAUAUAAAACAGAUAUCUCUGGUCAACAUUUGAAGUCUGAGUUGGGUGAAGAUUACCAAAACUGUGCUGCCAAGAUGUUGCAACAAAUCUCGCGGUGGGAUAGAUUAUCUCGCGAUAGGAUAGAUUAUCUCGCGAUGGGAUAGAUUAUCUCGCGAUAGGAUAGAUUAUCUCGCGAUGGGAUAGAUUAUCUCGCAAUACAAUACAUUAUCUCGCGAGAAAGCCUUAACGUUUUUCUUUCCAUAAACACAAGGAAAGCGCAUCGGUGUGUUGUAAGGCUUUACAAAUUAUUCUACUAAAAUCUACUGGUGGGUAAAAUUGUGUGCCCAACACAUUUAGAUGCAACGUGCCCGACCCCUGACUUGUUCAACACUAUGUUAAGUUUGGAUGUUCAAAUCACACCUGCACGUACAAACCUAUCAACAUUCACGCCUUCACCAGUAGCAACUGGGCUGUCACACUUCCAGGAGGAAAGAACAGGACAAUUUAAUCCAACCUCACUGGAUCUUCAAAGACAGAGGCAAAGGACCACAUCUCAUGAAAUGGCUACCCCCAGAUGACAAUUUACUCAAACCCUACUGGAUCUUCAAGUAAGACCGAGGCAAAGGCCCACAUCUCAUGAAACGGCUACCCCCAGAAUGGAUGCACAACAUGACACCAGUGGAGGUCGAGGUUAACAUCAACAACACUCGUGGACCCGUGGACACAUGUUGAGGCGGUCACAUAACGAACAGCCAUCUGUCAGACAGAAAAAUUCAGGAACCCUCUUCCAGGCCAUGUGCCAGAACCGAAUGAGUAUUGUCUCCAGUCCCAAAUUCAUCAUUGCCAUCCCAGUCCCAGACGACCCCCAGUGUAUGUGAGAACUUUGCUGUUGCAUCUUAUUUUAUACACAUUACACCUUAAUGACAACACAGCCUAAUGUAUAAAUACAUACAUUUCUCAGAAUCAGAAUUCAUACAGUUAAAAAUAUAGGGGCUACAAUGUCUGUCAAUGCACAGCAGCCUUAAUACUCACAAUUGAAUAUAGAAUAGAACAGGUAUAGCCAACCCUGGUCCUCGAGAACCACUGCCCUGCUUGUUUUCCAGCUGUCCCUGCCCUUCCAGCUUCUGAUUGACAACUGAUCCAUUACUAAUCAGCAGUAUGUAAGGCAUGGAUAGUUAGAAAACAAGCAGGGCAGUGGCUUUCGAAGAUCAGGGUUGGCUGCCUUGGAUUUACUCAACGUUAAUGAUUAUAUGGCUACAGUAAUUGAUGAUGUAGAAUUGGACAGACAGACAUUGGCAGACAUUCUUGUUAAAACUGCCUUCAAUAAUGUACACAAUGGUCCUGAAACUCUAAUAACAGCAUUUCCUAAUGUUGUGUUGCUACUUGACAGCUGCAUUGCGGAGAGAGCACAGAAGUGAGGGUGGCACCAGACCCUCACGGAGCGCUUACCCUAUGUCAACUGCAAUCUUGCUCUUCAGUUUUUGCAGCCCUAUAUUCACCGAAAUCAGCAGGCAAUGAAGACUGGUUUAGGUUCUAAAAAAACAGUCAAGCCUAAUGCCCUGCGUAAACACAAAAUGUGACAGCAAGUGUCAUGUUCACUUUUGGAGUUUAAGUAGUCUUGUUUGAAGGGUGUGUGUAUAUAUUAAUGUGCUGAUUUUUCUUUCAGGAUUCCAAAGGAAGGUCUUUUUUCAUGCUGUUUGGUUUAAAAGAUGAACUUGAGCGAAUAUCUGCCAUUCUGGACCCUGGCAAGUCUACAUCAUCUUUUAAAAGACUGGAUUAAGAGAGUGACCUAAAAUCCUUUGAAGAAUACAUCAAAGAUGAUGAAAAGAAGUGGAUCUGUGUUCAGCAACUGUCCAGAGUUGGUGGAUCUUCUGUCAGGGACUGCGUUAACCAAAUCAUGAACAGAGUCAUGUCAAAUGCCUUAAUGGCCAAAUUCAAUAUGAGGGGUGGUGGCCAACAUGACAAAAAGCCUUUCAAAGCUACAGCUUUGUACUAUGUAAUUCAAGAUAUGCUCUAAAGAGGUGGAGUCCAACUGCCACAGAUUCCGAAAUUGACACAGCAGUGGCGGAACACCUAAAACAUGCUCCAGGAUAAGCUGGGGGUGGUGGCUAUAAGAAAUGAGCUGUGCUACAGAAAUGUGCUAUAGUAAACAUUUUGAAAUAAUAGUAAAUAAAUAAAGAUUAUAAAUAUA